rnacentral:rRNA from 1 species
AUUGAACGCUGGCGGCAGGCCUAACACAUGCAAGUCGAGCGGAGCGGCGGACGGGUGAGUAAUGCCUAGGAAUCUGCCUGGUAGUGGGGGAUAACGUCCGGAAACGGGCGCUAAUACCGCAUACUAUCAGAUGAGUCUAGGUCGGAUUAGCUAGUUGGUGGGGUAAAGGCUUACCAAGGCGACGACCUGUAACUGGUCCGAGAGGAUGAUCAGUCACACUGGAACUGGGGCACGGUCCAGACUCCUGCGGGAGGCAGCAGUGGGGAAUAUUUGGCAAUGGGCGAAAGCCUGAUCCAGCCAUGCCGCGUGUGAUAAGGAGGUCUUCGGAUUGUAAAGCUCUUUAGGUUGGGAGGCGUUACCAACAGAAUAAGCACCGGCUAACUUCGUGCCAGCAGCCGCGGUAAUUC